AUUGAACGCUGGCGGCAGGCUUAACACAUGCAAGUCGAGCGGGGUGAUGGUGCUUGCACUAUCACUUAGCGGCGGACGGGUGAGAAAUGCUUAGGAAUCUGCCUAUUAGUGGGGGACAACAUCUCGAAAGGGAUGCUAAUACCGCAUACGUCCUACGGGAGAAAGCAGGGGAUCACUUGUGACCUUGCGCUAAUAGAUGAGCCUAAGUCGGAUUAGCUAGUUGGUGGGGUAAAGGCCUACCAGGGCGACGACCUGUAGCGGGUCUGAGAGGAUGAUCCGCCACACUGGGACUGAGACACGGCCCAGACUCCUACGGGAGGCAGCAGUGGGGAAUAUUGGACAAUGGGGGGAACCCUGAUCCAGCCAUGCCGCGUGUGUGAAGAAGGCCUUAUGGUUGUAAAGCACUUUAAGCGAGGAGGAGGCUCUUUUGGUUAAUACCCAAGAUGAGUGGACGUUACUCGCAGAAUAAGCACCGGCUAACUCUGUGCCAGCCGCCGCAGUAA
rnacentral:rRNA from 1 species